AUAAUUACCCAUUGUCUUCUGGAGCAACAAUCUCUUCCAUUCAUUAUGUGCAGGGGAUUGGAAGAAUUAGCAGGUCAUGCAUGCAUUUAAAAGCUGGUGUUAAUACUUCUAUAAGCCUUUUAAUUGAAGGAUUGUUGAUGAGGUUUUGUUUUGCAGGUUUCCACAUUCCCCCGGUAACAUGCCAAGGGAAGCAUAAUCUUAUGUCAACUCUUAAACAUCAGAAACACAUCGCACAUAGGUAUGGCCAGGACCUUAGCCUCUAUCACUGCCAAAUGGAAAGACAUUAGCUUUUCAUCCAAAAUUGUUGUUCAGGCUAGACAGUUGUGUGGAACUACAACCAGUUUUAGUAACUAUUGAGAGGUGGAAGAGGAUACAAUCAUUCGAAUGCUUUUGCAAAGAUAAAUUUUGUGAGAUAAGAUCCAUUUUAGUUCUGCAAUAUUUCCUUCUCUCUAUUUGGCCAUUGAUUUAUUUUUGGAUGCAUAAGCUGGAGGAUUCAGUAGCUUGCAACCUGGAUGAAAGCAAAACCAAAUACAGGUUAUUCAUUUUAGUUCUGCAAUAUUUCCUUCUCUCUAUUUCGCCAUUGAUUUGUUUUUGGAUGCAUAAGCGGUAGCUUGCAACCUGGAUGAAAGCAAAGCCAAAUACAGGUUAUCCAUUUUAGUUCUGCAA